UUGAAAGGGAAACGAUUGAAGUCAGUCAUGCUUGCAGGGAAUCAACAAAGUGGUUUUCUUCCUUGUGCACUUCCUUGCUUGGCAGGUUAGCAUCAAUUUUGAUUGUCAUUAAAGAACUGGGGGAAUGUGGCUUCUUCGGGAGUGUUAUAGACCCUGGUAGAUGUGGCGAUUGGGAUUGAGGAUUGCAGCGAAUGCUUCUUGGCUAGUUACCUGGCUUCUGAUGGUCACCUUGCUUUCGAUAGCUUGCUAACGUUGGUGAGAUUUGAUUGUCUAGAUGUUGGAGUGAUCAUAAAUUCGCUAAGGAUGCUGACGUAAUGGCUUUAAACGACCCGUCUUGAAACACGGACCA
rnacentral:rRNA from 1 species